GGCCUGCUGGAUGCCGGGUCCCCUAGUCCAGCGGUCCUCGGACUCUGAACUGUACACUGUGGGCACCGGAAGCGAGACUACCCAGGCGAGUAACGCAACGAUAAUCGUUUCUUUGGAACUUGGGGUCUGUAACCUUCAACAGCGUGGUUGGGCAGAAAGGCAAUCUUUACUCGACCUCCGCAGCCUAGAAAUGCAGUCAAGGCGGCCAAGGUGGGACCGGGAGAACUUUUGCUUGGGCCUACUCAGAAGCUACUCUCGCCCUUCCUUUCCGCUGCACUUCCUUGGAGGCCGCUGCCCGACAUUUUCAGUGAUCACAUUGUUCUCCCGGCUUAACUUCUCUAUGAGGACAGAGGUCUAGCUUUUUGGUCUGUUGCGCACUUCCGCAAUCUUUCUCAUGUCUUUCUCAUCCCAUCUUCUACUCUCCCAAAGGUGGCCAUGGAUUUGCAUCGCAGGUUGCAGCAGAUGGGUGCCGUCAAGAGGAACCCAGACUUGAUCUGUGGUCAUUGUUAUCUUCUAGUACGACACUCUACUUUCCCACUGAACUCUUCCUGCGCAAGCUGAGAAGCUUGGCUAUAAUUUGGUCUUUUAUUUUUAUAAUAGGCUGUUGUUGAGAAAGGAGCUUUGACAAUAGAAGUAACCAACCAGCAGGUCCAUUUCUACUGUGGAAAGCAGCUGGAAACUCAUCCCUAUGGAUGAAAAAGAGAAGGGAGCACCAAUUGCUGCGAUGGAGUCUGUACCGCGGAUUCUGAAGGGAGCUGUGAAGGUUCUUCUCAGAGUCGUCAGUGUGUAAAUACUGUGCUCCCAAGGUCUUGCUACAGUCAUACUAGCAUCUUGGACUCCAUGCACAGAACUUGGCAGUUUUGAACAACUACUUGUGAUUGAAAAAUGACCAACAAAUUUAAGGUCCCAAAGCUCAGUUUCGGUACCAAAAAAGCCACUGUCUCGCUCGCUUGCCCCUCUCUUCCCGUGCUUCACACCUAGAUGUUGGACCCCCAUUACUGUUCUGCGAGUUUUUAUUAAAAUAAAGAAAAAACUUGGU